UACGUAGGGUGCGAGCGUUGCCCGGAUUUAUUGGGCGUAAAGGGCGCGUAGGCGGCUACGCACGUCCGUUGUGAAAUCGCCCGGCUCAACUGGGCGGGGUCGGCGGAUACGGCGUAGCUUGAGCAAGCUAGGGGGCAAUGGAAUUCCCGGUGUAGUGGUGGAAUGCGUAGAUAUCGUGAGGAAGACCAGUGGCGAAGGCGGAUCUCUGGACAAAUCCUGACGCUGAGGCGCGAAGGCUAGGGGAGCAAACGGG
rnacentral:rRNA from 1 species